rnacentral:rRNA from 1 species
GAUCAUGGCUCAGAUUGAACGCUGGCGGCAUGCUUUACACAUGCAAGUCGAACGGUAACAGGCCUUCGGGUGCUGACGAGUGGCGAACGGGUGAGUAAUGCAUCGGAACGUGCCCAAUCGUGGGGGAUAACGUAGCGAAAGAGUGGCUAAUACCGCAUGAGAUCUCUGGAUGAAAGCGGGGGACCGUAAGGCCUCGCGCGAUUGGAGCGGCCGAUAUCAGAUUAGGUAGUUGGUGGGGUAAAAGCCUACCAAGCCUUCGAUCUGUAGCUGGUCUGAGAGGACGACCAGCCACACUGGAACUGAGACACGGUCCAGACUCCUACGGGAGGCAGCAGUGGGGAAUUUUGGACAAUGGGCGCAAGCCUGAUCCAGCAAUGCCGCGUGCAGGAUGAAGGCCUUCGGGUUGUAAACUGCUUUUGUACGGAACGAAACGGCUCUUUCUAAUAAAGGGAGCUAAUGACGGUACCGUAAGAAUAAGCACCGGCUAACUACGUG